rnacentral:rRNA from 1 species
UACGGAGGGUGCAAGCGUUGUCCGGAUUCAUUGGGUUUAAAGGGUGCGCAGGCGGGACAUUAGGUCAGGGGUGAAAGACGGUUGCUCAACAAUCGCAGUGCCUUUGAUACUGGUGUUCUUGGGUAACCUUGAGGUAGGCGGAAUGGGUGGUGUAGCGGUGAAAUGCAUAGAUACCACCCAGAACUCCGAUGCGAAGGCAGCCUACUGGAGGUCAACCGACGCUCAGGCACGAAAGCGUGGGGAUCA